ACAAAUGCCUGGGCAGUAAAGGUAAAAAGAAAAGUUCCGGGUAAAUACCUCCGGGAUGAAAGUCAUCGUCGCCGACGGGGCUGCUGGUGGAGCUACCGCCGUCGAGGCCGCCGGUGGAACUUCUGGUGCCGAUGGAGCUGCCGCCACCGCCGUUGGAGCUGCCGCCGGGGUUUUCGUUGCUGGUGAGGUUGCUGAUGGUGCCACCAUUGGGAGGAUGG
rnacentral:lncRNA from 1 species